rnacentral:rRNA from 1 species
AGGACGAACGCUGGCGGCGUGCUUAACACAUGCAAGUCGAACGGAAAGGCCCCUUCGGGGGUACUCGAGUGGCGAACGGGUGAGUAACACGUGGGUAAUCUGCCCUGCACUUCGGGAUAAGCCUGGGAAACUGGGUCUAAUACCGGAUAUGACUACGAGAUGCAUGUCUUGUGGUGGAAAGCUUUUGCGGUGUGGGAUGGGCCCGCGGCCUAUCAGCUUGUUGGUGGGGUGAUGGCCCACCAAGGCGACGACGGGUAGCCGGCCUGAGAGGGUGUCCGGCCACACUGGGACUGAGAUACGGCCCAGACUCCUACGGGAGGCAGCAGUGGGGAAUAUUGCACAAUGGGCGCAAGCCUGAUGCAGCGACGCCGCGUGAGGGACGAAGGCCUUCGGGUUGUAAACCUCUUUCAGUAUCGACGAAGCGCAAGUGACGGUAGGUACAGAAGAAGCACCGGCAACUACGUGCCAGCAGCCGCGGUAA